rnacentral:lncRNA from 1 species
AUUUUUUUUAUUUGUUUUUUCUUUGUUCGCUCGAGUAAGUUAAGCAGCUUCUUCCUCUAUAUAAACCUCUCUUUGGUGGAGGGAUGAAUCACAGACUGAAAGCUUGAGAAGUGCAACUCUCAUUACAGUCUUCUAAGGGCUAAGUUUUGUGAAGCAGAAAUGGCCAAGAUCUUCGAGACCAAUCUUACAAGAAAUCAUACAAGCAGGUUUAGGUUCCAGCAUAAUGGCAACGCACUUCCAGGUGUUUUGAGGGUUACGGACGAGCUAGGAAGAGAGUGGUGGUUUCAAUGCGAGGGUCAGGGAGGCGACUAUACCAUCUCCGGGAAUCAGUGGAGGAAUUUUGCUGCACCCAAUAUCCACGCUGCGAUCACUCUUUACAGAGAAGAUGGUGAGAACAACUUUAGUAUUAUAGUAAGGCCAUCAUCAGCUUGAUCAACUUGAUCAACAUCUAGAAAUCAAGAAACCAUCGGUUUUAAAGGUCCUAAGCUUGUUUGCUUUUUCUUUAUUCACGUAAGGGUGUGCUAGGAAUUUAAGUAUCUAUCUGCUUUUGUAUCUUUCUUUUUUUGAGAAAAUGCUUUUGUAUUUUCUAAGUACUGGUUGUGUUUAGUACUAUCAACUAUGUUUCAAUCCUGC